rnacentral:lncRNA from 1 species
AAAAAGUAGUUCUUUUAAUUAAAAAAAAACAAAACAAAACCUUUCCGUAUGUCCUCAAUAUUUUGAAAUACAUAAAAAUAGAAAGCAUUUCCACAGGGUAAAUUAUGAUUGCUAAAAGCUCCUCCCUGCACCCCCAAAGCCCCCAGCCCCAUGUCCUCAGCCAGCCGCGUACCGCGGUCCUCGUGCUCGUGGUUAGCGCUGCCGAGCGCUGGAGAAACUGUAAUUGCUCAUAAGCGAAGUAGCACUUCCCAAAGUACAGUAUUUGUUUAACAGAUCGUUAAACCAAUAUAAAUAGCGCUGAAGCACGCAUGGAAGCAACAAGGAUUUAAGCGUAAUUACAGUGGGAAACGCGGAGCGUGGUCGUCCUCUUUCAGAGGCUGCGGGGCAGCGUGAGUAACGCCACCAAAGCAAUGGGGUAGAACCAGGCCCAGGAGAGCCUGGACCCUCUGCGGCACUGCUUUAGCUUUCUGUUUCCUUCCUAUUUUAAGGGAAAAUUCUGGGACAGCCUGUAACCUUUUUACUUUAUUCCAGGAAUAAUUUCCUUUGUAACAAUUCCAUCAAGAUCACUGAAAUUAAAUCAAAAAAGACCGUCUCCGUUACUGUCGUGGGAGCUGCUAUAAGUAAAGCAAAUUAAGAUAUCACGUUGUCAGGGGCCAGUCUAACAAAACAUUUUGAGCUUGUCCACAUGAGUCUGGCAUCUGUAGACCGAAGCUCCCGACGACCAUCCAAACCAGCCUGCCCAGGGCUUGGUGGAGCAACCAGCCUUGAGUAACUGUUCAGGAGCAUUUUCUCAGAUGCCGGUCAGCACGGAGCCGGGGAGCAAGAACAACGCGUUGGGUUGCUCUUGGCCAGCUGUACCCAAGACCUGUGCCACCGUGGCCUGGGCACUGCACUUCCCGUGUUUUUGCAGCCCCCAGCUCAGCGAAAGGCAAAAGGUCCCAGCCGGAGGUCACAGACUGCUCGGAGAGGGGGAGGCAAUUUCCUCUUCUGAAAACACCGGUUACCUGCUGCCAUGCAAGCCGCAUCGGCUGUUACGGACGCACAAUCAAUGAAAGUUUGUUGUUCUGUUAAUUAUUACUCAAGUUAGUGCAAACAAAGGCGCCAACAAACGAAAACACUGUGCGAGGGAGAAUUGUCAGACUAAUCGUUUGAACGUGAUGCGCACAUUGGGGGGCAGCACCCAGGAGGUCCCUACGUCCAAAAUGUAAUCUGAAUUGUGAAGAACGUAGUGGCUAAAGCAUCUUUGAGUCCUUUCCUUAGUUUGGUACCUUCUGUCAAGACGGACGUUUCAUUUUCCGGUGCUGCUUAGCCUCGUACACGCG